rnacentral:rRNA from 1 species
GAGAGCUUGCUCUCGGGUGACGAGUGGCGGACGGGUGAGUAAUGUCUGGGAAACUGCCUGAUGGAGGGGGAUAACUACUGGAAACGGUAGCUAAUACCGCAUAACGUCGCAAGACCAAAGAGGGGGACCUUCGGGCCUCUUGCCAUCAGAUGUGCCCAGAUGGGAUUAGCUAGUAGGUGGGGUAACGGCUCACCUAGGCGACGAUCCCUAGCUGGUCUGAGAGGAUGACCAGCCACACUGGAACUGAGACACGGUCCAGACUCCUACGGGAGGCAGCAGUGGGGAAUAUUGCACAAUGGGCGCAAGCCUGAUGCAGCCAUGCCGCGUGUAUGAAGAAGGCCUUCGGGUUGUAAAGUACUUUCAGCGGGGAGGAAGGUGUUGUGGUUAAUAACCGCAGCAAUUGACGUUACCCGCAGAAGAAGCACCGGCUAACUCCGUGCCAGCAGCCGCGGUAAUACGGAGGGUGCAAGCGUUAAUCGGAAUUACUGGGCGUAAAGCGCACGCAGGCGGUCUGUCAAGUCGGAUGUGAAAUCCCCGGGCUCAACCUGGGAACUGCAUUCGAAACUGGCAGGCUAGAGUCUUGUAGAGGGGGGUAGAAUUCCAGGUGUAGCGGUGAAAUGCGUAGAGAUCUGGAGGAAUACCGGUGGCGAAGG